rnacentral:lncRNA from 1 species
GAGAGAGAGAGAGGUCCAACGAGAAUCGAACAGAUGCUGCUACGUGAAACGCUACGUUUCGUUUCGACAAGAGAAUUUUUGUUCCCUUAAAAUGUUGGUAGAGAAAGACAGAGGUAGAUCUAAAAGUGUAAAACCCUUAUCGUCCACGAUUCUCCUUAGUAUCGAUCAUUCCUCCUCGUCUCUAAUCGGAAAUUUCCGAUGUUAAGUACGGAGACUACGCGUAGGGAGCAGUAAUUCCCUGUUUCGCGCGAGACGUUUGUAAAACGAUGGCUCAUUUCUAGACCUGGCCAAGGGCCGGUUUUGAUUUGGAACUGACGGUUCGAUUCAAUUUGCGGAUCACAUUAAAAUCAGUCUGAUUUAUAACAGUUCAAAAAUAGUUUUAGUUUGAUAUUACAGUAGUUAUGGUUAUUAUUUUAUGAUUUUAAUUUUGAUUCAAAUUAAAUUUAAAUCGUGAACGAUGAAUCUAAUUUUGAUUUGAAAAAAUUUUAAUAAAAUUAAAUAGAAUAUAAAAAAGUAAAUAGGAGUCUUAAAUAUUGAUAAUAUAUAUUUUAUUAAAAAAGUAAAAUAUACAAAAUACAUCUAUUUACAUAAUAUAAGAAAUAAAAUAAUAUUACAUAUAAUAUAAAAAAUAAAAUAAUGUUAUAUUUAAAUAUAAAUAAUAUAUUUUAUAAAUAAAAAAAUUAAACUUAAUUAUUUAAUAAUUUAACUUAUUUAUAUAUUAAUUUUACGUAUCAUAAUUUUAUAAAAAAAUAUUUUAAAAAUUAAACUGAAAUUAAAUUAGACUAUCGAUUCAAAUCGAUCGAUUUUAAUUCUGAUUCAUAAAAGAAAGAUCGUAACCGAUCCUCUAAUCCUAUUUAAAAAUUAAAAUUGAUUAAUCAGUUUGAUUCACGAUUAAAUCGAACCUAGUCAAGUCUAUGCAUUUUUACUAUGGAUUUAAAAAUAUUUUUAUUUUUAUCAAAAUUAUUGCAUAUAUCCUCAACAUAUUAAUAUCUACUUUUUAUAAAAAAAAAGAAAAAAAAUAAAUUUAAAGAGAAAUUGAAGAAACCAUAAAAAAAAUAUUUUUAUUAAUCUGAAAAUCUAGAAUAACAUGUAAAGAAGAGUUUUUAUAAUAAUUAAAUUAAAAUUCAAUGAAUUUUAAAAAAGCAAUUAAACUUGAGUCAUUAAAUUAAAAUAUAAAUAAAAUUAAGGGAUUGCAGGAGAAAAUUAUUUAUUUUAAAAUUAUAAAAUUUCAUACAAGAAUGUUUAAAAAAAAAAAACAGGGGAAUUGUUGUGUAUUCACGUGGUGGUCAUGGUUGUGCGUUUUACAUGACAAGCUGGAGACAGCAAAAUAUGAGUUUUAUCCACUUCCACGUGGUGGUAGUGAUGGCGUUUCCAGUUUCAUCUAGUGGCUUAACAAGAACGUACGGAUCUUACGGAGUUAUUACUACCAGUGUGCUGUUUGGCGAUGGAAACAAAUGAAAGGGAAGAAAAGAAGAAUGGAAAGAAGUGAAAAAUCUCAUAAUAUAUUAUUAAAAAAAAUUUCAAUAUUUUAUCACUUAUUAUUAUUUAGUAGGAUAAUUUUCAUCGAUCCUCACUAAAUUUUAAUCAUUGAUUUGUUAUAAUAGCUAAUCAAUAAUUUAUUCUUAAAAAAAGUCAUUAUUAAAUAAUUAUUUCGAUGAGAUUUUAAUAAAUUUUCUGAUAAAAUCUAUAUAUAAUUUAUUUUAUGUAAUUUAAAAUAAUUAAAAAAAUUAUUUAUCAUCAAAUUAAAUUUAUAAAUAUAUAUUUUUUAAUUUUUUUCUUUACAUUAAAUUAAAAAAAAUACAAAUUGCCUUUUAUGUAAUAUUUGCUAUCAGUUCUCCUAUUUUAUAAUACCUACGCAAUUUUUUUAUAUUUAUUUUACAUAUUUAAGUAAAGUGAGUAGAUUGUAAGUGCUUUUUUAUAAAAUUAAUUAAAUAAAUAUUUAUUUAAUUAAAAAUAUAUGAAUAAAUUUAUAAAAAAUUUAAUUUAAUAAUUAAUUUAUAUUUAUUAUUUUUAAUAAAAUAAUUAAUCUGAUAUUUGAGUUUCAAAUGGAAUUUCAAUGGAUAAAGUUUAAAAAUUUACAAAUUAAAAUAUUGUAGUAACUAAAAAAUAAAAUUUUUAUUAUUAUUAUUUUAAACCAUUUAAGAUAGACUAUAUAUGUAUUUCACUAAAAAAUUCAUUUACAUCUAACCGAGUGACUAUUUUAGAAAAAUAUUUAAACGUUGCUAAUUUUUUUAAAUAAAUUAAAAUUUAAUAAUUAUAAUAAAUAAAUAAAAAUUUAUAAAUAUUAAAAAUAUUAAAUUUAUAUUAAAAUGUAUCAACUAAAUAAUAUUAGGUUAUAUCAAAUCUGAUAAAUAGAUUGAAUCGUAUCAAAUCAUAUUGUAUUAAUUAAUCGUAUUCUCUUAUAUAACAUAUAUAAUAAAGCAUUUAGAUUUUUUAAUUAUGCUCAUAUCAAAUUUCUGUUAAUAAGAAUAUAAUCCAUUUUGACCUAGCAGACCGCUUAGAGAUAUUUAUUACUUUGGUAUUAUUUUAUGUAUUAAAAUUUAUUUAAUUUAUAUAACAACUUAAACAAUUACAUUGUUUUGUAUUUUUUAAAAAAUAUCAAUCAGUUGAUAUCACUUUUUAAUAUUAAUUCAUAAAAAAAUAUUAUUUAGUUAUUAUAAUAUGAGAAAACUCAUUAUUUAAUUUUUUAAUUUUAAAAAAUAUAUUAAAAAAUAUUUGAUAUUUUAAAAAAUUUAUUAGUUAAUUUUUUAAUUUUAAAAAAAUAUUAACUAAUACUUUUGUAUUAGAAAUAUUUUAGAGUUUCUUUUUAUAAUAUUUAACGGUUAAAACUAAUUAAACUUAUAAAUUUUUAAAAUAUGAAAAAAAUUUUAAUAUAUUUUUUAAAAUUGAGAGAUGAAUUAAUAAUUUUUUUUUAUAUUUUUAUAUAGUAGUUUUUCUAUAACUAAUUAAAUUUUAUUUUUUACAUAUUAUUAAAUUUAUGCAAAUCAAAAUAAAUAUAUAAAUUUUAUAUAAUAUAUUAUAUUAUAAAUAUUUAAAAUAUUAUAUUACAUCUAAAUGUCUCAAAUAAGUAACUUCAAGCUGUAUUAAAAUUCAUUCUAUCAAAUAAUUUUAGAUUAUUCAUUAAUCGUGCUGUAUUCUGGUUGACGAUACAGAUGUGACCCGCCAAUCAGAAAUACCACCUUUGCUUUUCAGUCACUUCGACAAGCAGUGCAUGUUUUCUCGGUUCAGGACAAGCAACUUAUUUGGUAUUUCACGAUGGUUCUAACCAGAAACAUGUUUAGCUGCUUCUUUCUUUCUGUAACAAAGAUUAAGAUUGUCAUUUUUUUAUUUUAUUAUUUCAUUUAAGCGGAAAAGAACAUUAUACUCCUUUUUAAAACCAUUAAUAAAAGAAUGAAAGUUUUAGUUAAACAUAUAUUUCAUUAACCACAUAUUUAUAUAAAAGAUUUUAGAGAUAAAGUAAAAACAAAUUACUAUAUCAAUAAAUGACUAAUAUAAUACUAUACACAAUAGACUUAUUUUUCUUUAAUCUUGAACAAUGGUUUAGUCAACAUAUCAACCACUUGAUCAUGAGAAGAAAUAUAGCAAAUUUGCAACAACCUUUGUUUACUCAAUCACGAAUAAAAUAAAAAUCAAUCUCUAUCAGCUUGGUGCGACUAUGUAAAACUGGAUUAGUUGUGAUAUAAGUAGUGCUGAUAUCAUCACACCAAAGAACUGGAGUAGAGAAAAUAGACAAGUGGAGUUCUUUGAGAAGAUUAUGAACCCAAAGUAACUCGGAUGUCACUGUUGCCAAAACUCUAUAUUUAGCCUCAGUGGACGAUCGAGAAACUGAAUGUUGCUUCUUCGAAAACCAAGAAAUCAACACUGAUCUAUAAAAGAUGGCAUAACCCGUGGUGGACUUGUGAUCAUCCACAUCAACCGCUCAAUCAGCUUCGCAAUAACUAUGUAGAGUAUGAGCGAUGUGAGAAGGAAAGAAGAGGCCAUGAGUGGCAGUAGUCUUUAAGUAUUGUAAGAUACAUUUAACAACCGUCCAAUGAUGGGAGGUGGGACAAUGCAUAAACUUAUUGACCUUAUUGACUGCAUUGGAAAUGUCUGGCCAUGUGAACGUAAGAUACUGUCGGCCACAAACGACACUUCAGAAAAGUGUAGCAUCAGGGAAAUGUUCACUAUUCGCUAAUGUCAACUUCUCACUAGGUGUGGAUGAAGUAGAAAUAGCGUUGCAUUGAGACAUACAUGUUCGUCCCAAUAAGUCUUUAAUAUAUUUAGAUUGAUGAAGCAAAAAUCCAUUAGAGCACCAAACAGCCUCUAUGCUAAGAAAGAAGUGCAACUUGCCUAAAUUUCGCACUGCAAUGCGAGUCUGCAACUUGAUAAUGACUGAAUCAACAAAUUUCUAAUUAGAGCCAACAACAAUAAUAUCAUUCAGAUAUGUGAGAGAAAACACCUUUUCUGUAGGAAUGGUUAAGGAAAAAUAGAGAACUAUCAGUCUUGGAACCAAUGAAUCCAAGCUCCUGCAAGGCAUCCGUGAGGCACUGAUUCCACACUCUUGGUGCUUACUUAAGACCAUAAACGGACUUCUCCAAUUGACACACAAAAUCAGGAUGAUUAGGAUCAAUAUGGCCCUAUGGCUAAGUCAUGAAAACAACUUCAUCAAGCUUCCUAUGGAGGAAAGCAUUAGAAACAUCCAAUUGAGUGACAGACCAGUUAUUAGCCACAGUAAUAGAAAGGAGUAAACAGAGCCACAGUAAUAGAAAGGAGUGAACGAAUUGUGGUGGGCUUAACAACUGGGCUAAAUGUAUCUUCAAAAUCAAUUCUAGGUCUUUGAUCAAAGUCUUUCUCCAGCAACCGGGCUUUAUGCUGUUCAAUAUAGUGUCAUCUGCAUGUCUCUUUGUCUUAAACAUCCAACGACAACCAACAACAUUCUGAGAGAGAGAAGGAGGUACAAGUUUCCAAGUGCAAUUGAAAAUAAGAGUAUUAUACUCCUUGGAGAUGGCCUCACGCCAAUGAGCAUGCUUGACAACUUGAGCAUAAGUAGUAGGCUCUAAAGUAGAAGACAUAGAAGCAUUGAAGGACUGGAUAUGCUUCGGCUUGAGAUGACUAGUUUGUGCCCUUGUCACCUUGGGAUGAGCACGACCUGGUGGGGCAGGCAUGGGCAUGGGUAAGAGCAAACUGAUUGUUAAUGAGGAUUCAGCCAUAAAUUUAGAAGUGGAAGUAGCAGUACCUUGUGCCUGAAAGGGGAAAACAAUUUCAUCAAAAGAACAUGAUAUGCGAUAAAAAAACUUAUUCAAGAAAGGACCAAAUCACUUAUAACCUUAUAAGCACGACUAUAACCCAAGAAAAUACAUGGUUUUGACCGAGGUUCCAACUUACUCUUUGAAUAUGGAUGCAACCAAGGAUACAUAAAUAACUAAAGACACAAAGAAUACUAUAAUCAGACUUGAUGGUAAACAAAACCUCAUAGGGAGUACGAUAAUUCAACAAUGGAGUAGGCAAAUGAUUAGUGCAUAAACAAUAGUUUCAAAGGCAUUGGUCCAAAAGCGAGUAGGAACAAAAGAAUGAUGUAAUAAUGCUCGACCAGUUUCAGAAAUAGGGCGAUACUUUCUUUCAACACAACCAUUUUAUUCCAAUGCAUGAGGGCAGAAAAUGUGUUGAGUAAUGCCAUGUGUGUGCAAAUAAGAAGUUAAGGCUUGAAAUUCCCCACCCCAAUCAGCCUGAAAUUGUUUAAUUGACUGACUAAAAUACGUUUCAACAAAUAUACGAAAUUGAUGAAAGAUAUCCAAUGUAUUAGAUUUUUAUUUAAGAAAAUAGAUCCAAGUAUACUUGCUAAAAUGAUAAAAGAAUGCCGCAUAAUAAUGAAAGACAUAAGUAAAUAUAAUAGGAGUAGGGCCCCAAAUAUCUGAACAAAUUAAGUCUAAAGGACUAGUAGAAUGAAAACUUAAAAUUGAAAAAGAUAACUUAUGUAUUUUGCUGAUAGCACAAGCUUGACAUAGACUUUUAUUAAACUAAAAAAUAAUAGUAGAAGACACUAUUUUUCUAACAGUAGCAAAAGAGGCAUGUCCCAAACGUGCAUGCCAUGUUUCUAAAGAAGAAAUUUUAAAAUAGAAGGAAGACUUCGACAAAACACUAGAAAACAACUAAAGAGAAGGUUGCAUCCAAGUAAGAGACGACUCCUCAGCACAACAGGGAGAACAUAAAGACCAGCUUCAUUUCGGCCUUGAUAGAGUAUAGCCUUCAUAGCCAAUUCCUUUAUAAGAAACAAAUCAGGAAAGAAUUCCACAGAAACAUUAUUAGAUUUCAAAAAAAAACUGACUGAUAGUAAAUUCUGUGUAGCGGUGGGCACAUGCAAAUAUUAUCCAAAAGAAAAUAAUGAUUAGAAAUGAACAAAUUAGACUUUCCAAUAUGAGAGAUAGGUAAACUAUAGCCAUUACCAAUUGUCACUUCUUCAUAUCCUUGACAUUCAAAAUGAAUAGCAAGGUUAUCAAGAUUGGCAGUAAGGUGGUGCGAGGUUCCACUAUCUAUAAUCUAUGACUAAUUUUGUUGAGGGGUGAUGCAAGUUAAAUUGGAAACAGAACGAGUAAUGCGGUUGCUAUAACCUGCCUUUAGGGAAGGACACACGUGCGACACAUGUUCCAAACCUCCAGACUUGUAACACGUUACACUCGAUUCAUCCACUGAAUUUGGCUAGGUUGCAGUGGUAUAUGCCGGCGAAGUAGGUAAAAGUGGUGGAGCAGAGGAGGAAAAACGAGGACUCGAAGUAGAAGAAGAGAUCAGACCUCUACUGCACCCGCGAUUCUGUCUGCAACCUUUGCUGCGCCUAGGGUAAAGUUUUGAGGUUGUUUUUAAUGAGUUGUAGGAGCGAUAAGAGCAGGUUCAUUCGAUUGUAAUUGGCGUUCCUCAUUAAGAAGCAUAUUAUACAGUGUAUCAUAAGAAAUAUCCUCUUGUUAAGCUUCAAGAGCUCGCGUAAAGGGUUAAUGUGUAGGUCCAAGACCAACUUCGAUGAAUUCGACCAAAUCAUCAUUUGAAAUAGAAUGUUAUAAUGCAACAAAUUUAUCAGCAAUCCCUUUUACUUUUUGCCCAUAUGUUUCAAUAAAAUCAUCUCCACGCUUCACGGUAUAAAGUUGCGUCUUGAGUUCUCGAAUUUUGGGCUUAGUGGCAGUAGUGUAGGAGGUGACCAGCUUGUCCCAAGUCUCCUUAGCUGUUUCGGCACCCACAAUCUACGGAAGAAUGGACUCUGAAACAGAGGCAACAAUCCAACUAAGAACUAUCUGAUCUUGACAAAUCCAUAGAGAUAGGCGAGAUUAGAUUGAUUAUUUGAUAAGAACUUCACGAGAGCGGGUUGCGAGCCAUUAAUAUGAUGCUCAAGCAUACACCUAUGCAGUAUAGGUAAGAAUUGUAAUUUCUACAAAAGAAAAUUGGUAGAAGUUAAUUUCAAAGGAAUUUUAUGGUUAAGAUUGGGUAUAGAAGAAGACGAAGAAAUAGAGGCAAAUUUAGUCCCACUGAUAGUGAAACGAAGAGAAGAAGAAGAAAGGGUUUUAAACGGUUAGAGCUUUGAUACCAUGAAAGGUUUUAGUUACGGUAUAUUUCAUUAAUUAUAAAAGUAUAUUUAUACAAGAAUUUUAGAGAUAAAAUAGGAAAAAAAAAUUAUCACACCAGUAAAUGAUUAAUACAAUUUUAUAUAGAAUAGACUUAUUCCUCUUUAAAAAGACUCUAAAUUUUGAUAGACACGAUAAUCGAAAACUAAAUAAUGUAACUUUUAAAAUAUAAGGAUUAAAUAAUAAUAAUCAUAAUAAUAAUAAGUGACAAAAUUUAGGGAAGAAUAAUAAAUUUCCCACAUUAUUAUACAAUAAGAUCCAAGAGAUGCAUGAUAAAUUCCUUAAAUUACACAUGCAAUGUAAAGUGAGAUACUAUUUUCAGUAAAUUCCUUAAACUACAGAUGAUGAGUAAUAUAGUGAAGAUGAAUUAUUUUUGCUCUCAUAUCACAGCAAAAUAUAAAUUAAAUUAAAUUCCUAACUUUGAUUAAAAGUCGCAUUUAAAUCUUAUACAUCUUAUUUUUAUUUUAAACAUGGAUUGCAAUUCACUUUUUGAUUUUAUAACACUUCUACAAUUACUUAAUGCCUAAGAUUUUUUUUUAUCAAAAGCUCAUUAAAAAUUAAUUUUUAAUUUUUAAUUUUUAAUUUUUAAAGAAAAUUUUAAAAAUAAGAUCUUAAAAUAUUGUUUUAUCUAAAAAAAUUGUUCUAUUUAAACAAUAAAGGAUUAAAAUAUAAUAAAACAAAUAAUUUGUUUUCUUGAUUUGACAGAAAAGAAACGCUUUAUUAAAAUGAGAAUAUAAAAUGAAAAUCUGUUUACAGACUCUCUUAUAUAUAGAGCCUAGCUAGCUAAUUUUUUAAAAAAUUAAAAAUAAUUUGAUUCAAUUCUUAAAAGUAUGAGUACACAAGUGUGAAUUUUACUAAGUAAUAAUUAGUUCAACAAUUUUCUUAAUAAAACAGAAUCCAACUCAUUUCUCUUUUUGAUUAACAAUGUAAGUAGAGUUUUAAUAUAUAAAAUUUGAAAAAAAAAAAUAACCCUAGAAAUUUAAUGGGAAGUUUUCAUUUUAAUAUCUAGCAUAUUUUUGAUAUUGGUACUCCACUCAACAUAUUUUAGAACAAUAUAGAAAUUUCAAUUUGAUGAUUAAUUCUUUUAAUAAAUUAAUAAACUAAAAAAAAAAUUCAAUUUCUGAUGGAUACAUUUCUUAAUUAAUCAUUGAUAAAAUUUUUUUCUCCAUAAUAGAUCUGGUUUUCUUCUUAGUCCAUUAUAUGGAUCUAUCAAAUGGGUUUCUCAAUAUUCUAUUUGAUGAAUGGACAUGCAAAAUAGGGAAAAAUGGUCAGGGGUCUACCGGGGAUGCCCCGGUGGAGACCCUCCGACGUUCAAGUCAGAUUUUAUGAAUUAGAGUAGUAUAUUUAGGCAAGAGUUGCAGAGAGAAAAAAUAAAAAAAAAUGGAGUCCAAGGAGGAGAGGGAAGAAGAAGCCCCCAAAAACCUCCAGAAGAGAGCCCCCUUGAAAGAGAAGACCCCCAGUCUAUAGUGCUACAUGUUCAUGUCACUCAAAUCCGUACGUACGAACGUGUCAGACCCCUUCUCCACGCCAGGCGACCAUUUAAUUCUCCCUGUCACGCAUGCGAACAGGGUUGGUGAGUGACUGGGCCUGCUUUCCUAUUGGGCCUGUACUCGUAUCUGAUCCAAAUUGCCCUGGGUUGCUGAUCCCGGGCUUGUAAAAUCUGACCGUCUUUCCAACGUAUGGUCUGACGGGCUUUGGACUUGCGGCCUUCUUUUGGAUCCGUCCUUAUUCCUGAGUUAGGAAAGCCGGGCGGUUAUCAAUUAUUAUUAUGUUUUUUUUUUCUCAAAUGGGUAAAAUUUUUAAUAUUAUAAUUUAAUAAGUUAAUUUAAAAAAUGCAAAAAAUUCUCCAUUGAUUUCUUUUGUUUAAUGUGACAAGUGAGAUGAUUGAAGUAAAUAGUUAAUUAAAAAUUUUGAGCCGAUAACUUUAUCUACACAAAAAUUAGAAAUUUUUAUCAAAUUUUAGUAAGUUAUAGCCUCAAUUUUUUAUAAUAACUUAAAACAUUUUCUUAAUUUGAAAUACGAUAUGAAGGCUUUUUAAAAAAGUGUAUUAAACAAAAAAGUCAUGUUUACAUGCUAAAACUUAAGUCUUGAAUAAUAAAACUAAAUAUCUUCAGCUAGUACAUUUUUUUUAUCAGUGAACUAAACUGAUUAAAAAGUUGGUAAUAUUUUACAAUAUAGAUUAAGGUUUUAUGUUAUUAACAAAAUAAUCAAUUAAUUUAAACUUUUCAUCUAAUAACAAUUCCUCUUCAUCAUUUCCUUCAACCGUUCACCUUGUUUUAUCCCACAUAGAUGGACCGACCGCUAAACAAUAAUCCCUUAUUUAGAGUCUCUUAGUUCUCAUUUCCUUUUCGAUGUGGGAAACCCUGAAAUUGUCACAUGACAAUAACCUGAAUUGCAAGGAUUAUUCAUUGGAGCUGGAUAUAUACAUGUAUAUUUUAAGUGGAAAUGGGGGUCGAACCUUGAAUUUCAAUAUGAAAUAAUUUGCCCUUUUUGACCAAAACAAGCUAGUAGGCAAAGCGAGUUAAUAGUCGAUGGAUUAUCCAAAAUUCCUAUUUUCACAUGUAGCAAGCAAAGGAUAGAGCUAAAACCACAUGCAAAGUGUCACGGUUUCAGAUUUUAGCAGUCACCUGGAACCGUGCAGCACUUGACUUGAACACUUUUAAGCCAAAUCAGCCUUAAAAAUCGUUCGAUACCAUGUGAAUAUGAUUUUCCUGAUUAGUCAAGGUUAUAUAAGCGAACACCGAAGCCAACAGGCAGCAUUCCAUUAGAAGCCUCACAGUAGGCACAAAAGAAAAGAAUUGAACAUUAAAAUUCAUGUACAAGCUACUUAUUUUAUUCCAGGGGUAAAAUAGUAAUUAUACAUUAUCAUCGACGCUAUCGUUACAAUGAUUCUCACCUCCCUUGUAGACAGAGGGACGGUCUACAAGGAGUGAAGGCACACUUGGGAUCUCCGUAUGCCUAGGUAGCCAACUGGGCCCAGCCCCAGCUAGUGGCCAACUAGUCACUCCCCUAAAGAGCCUUAGGAACAACUUCGCUUGUGGUAGGAGAAGACAUCAACAUGUCUCAUAUGACACCCCAAAAUAAAUACAUGGAAAGGAACUACAACAAAUUGUCUCGGCCCUUAUCUUCCUAAUAAUUCCUAUUAAUUUAUCUCAUUAUUGUUUCCUAGAAACUCCAAUGUUGAAAAAUUACAGUUUUGGUCCCUGAAAACUCUAUGACCCUGACACUCCCCCACUUAAACGGUCGACGUCCUCGUUGACUGAGUUUGUUGAGGUUCUUCAAUCUUCGAGUCCGACGCUCUUAGGCUUGCUCGCAGUGGGAUCUGAUCCCAGUCCUAGUUGAUUAAAUUGUUGGACAGCCUUACUCCUUUUAUAUGAAAUCAUUCAGUUCUUGAUAUCUCUGUGAAUUGCUAGUUCUUUAUGAUGAAACUACAAAAGCUCUAUCUUCUGAUGGUAAAUGUUCUGCCCUUGAUUCCUUAGUCUACUGCAAAUGGUGUGAGAAAUUGUUACUUUACUCCUUUGCACGAACUUAUUGCUUGAACUCAUUGAUCACUGAUUCUUUUCUCCUAAACAUGUCUCGCCAUUAUUUGUUUUUAAUUGUCGACCCACUCUUCGCCUCAAAAGCACGACCUCAUCGUGCAACAAAUCUAUCAACCUGCAUACACUUAUACCACACGACAUCGUGAUUAACCUAUAAUAGUCUCAUAAGAAAGAUUAGUACUAACCACGUCAGAUUUAAAUACGAAUUAGUAUAGCAAGUUAUCUAGAAUACAAUCCAUUAUAAAUCAACAGGUGUGCCAACAGCACUUAGGCCACUGGGACUUGAACUGCCUUUACCCAUCCCCUUGACAUAACAUCACGUUAUUCCACUUGUAGCGAAGCUCAGCGAAUACUCCUAAGAAAUCGGUGUCCCCAUUAUCAAAAGAGUUUGCUCAACACUCUCUUUCUCUUUUAUACGUCUUACGAUCCUCCCCUUCAUAAACUCUGGUAUUAUGCUCACUUUAUCUCCUUUUUCUCUCCCUGAGAAUGUAGUUUAUGCAAAUGCCUACAAAAUGACACACAUUACACACCAAAUAACCACGAACACUGAAAAGUGCCCUUUUCUUGUUGAACCCUAUGAGCCACAGAAAUCUACUCAAAACAACUAUUAAGAUUGACUAUACAUGAAGCAAUUAAUAUCAUCAUUAUGAUUCGACACUAAGAAAUUACUAGAAGAUACUCCCUUUAUUAUACCGCUUUCAUCAUAGCUCCCAACAUCGACUCCCCUCCCCAACUUGCCUCAAGCAACCUGUGCUUCUCGACCUAUCUCGGUCCUCCUCCACGUUGAUCCACUUGUGAGAACUUUUAUUUGGCCAUGAGGUCUCUUUCCUGCUCAACAACAAAGGUAUGACUAAAUUUGUCCUUUUAAUUAUACAUUAUUUUCCAAUCUCUUUUAAGGAAGCUAUAGCCUAUAUGUUCACAAUAUCUGUUAGCACCAACUUGUCAAGUCCCACAUUACGAGGAACCUGACUCAAUAAUACACAAAAUAUCUCAAAAUAAAUGAAUAACUAAAUAAAGUAAGAUAAAGAAUGAUAUCAGGAAACACAAAAAAAAAAAAUUAUACUCAUCUAAUGUGAGAGGGUUCCUUCUCGUUAAAUUCUCUUCUCUGGUACUGAAUUAUCAUUAAGGAUCUCCAUCUCUCAUCAUUGCCUUAAGCCCCACACUCCUUUGACUAAUUCAAUAGUCCUCACUUUUGUCAAUUUUCGCUUAUACUCUUUUUUGUCGUAGGACGAGUGAAUUAUUUAUUUUCACAACACUGUUGCUCCCAAUGGCAUUUGAUACAACUCUCGCCUAAUGUUACCCUAUAUUCCUCUUAGUUAUCCUAUCAAAAUGUUUACUUAUCUCAAAGAGAAUGAACAUGUGCUCGACAACCAUAGUUGGUUGGCACGUAUCAAACAUUGUUUCCUACUCUUGUAAUUGUUAUUUUUCUUUUUUUUUUUUAUCCCCUCUGGACCCCAUCUAUUCCACUCUUCGACUCAUUUUCAUCAUUGCGAAACUUAGUCUUGGUUUCCUUUUCCCAUUUUUCUUUCUCUUUAGGGUAUGCCUUUCCUAUUUUGAUGCUCGUUUUCUGUAUUCUUGUAAAGGAUAUGUUUUGAGAGAUGAGGCAACUACCACCUUUGAUCUAUUACUAUCUCAUCCCUACCAGUGUUUCAUAUGGAUCUCUCAAAACUUUUCCCUCUGCACUAACCAUGUUGCACAACAUAGCAAGAGUUAUAGGCAUGCUGCACAACAUAGCAAGAGUUAUAGGAGCAAUAGCUUGCUUACUAGUUACGCACCAGGAUCAAAUAAUUCAUAAAAGAAUAUCAAAACAGUUGAUAACCAUUGUACUCAUUUCCCGUAAUUACCACAUUUAUUUAUUUAUUUUUUCCACUUACGCACAGAUAGACAAUACUCCAUCGAAUGCUACUUUUUGUUGAAUUUACUCUUGCACCCCCUCGCGCUGGAUAGCCACUAGUUUCUUCUUCAUUACUCUCGAUUACCUCUCCUUUAUCAAGGAACAAUUAUUGGUCAAACAGAAAUAACUUGUGUCGUUUUGGGAGACGCCACAUCUAUUAACGUCUUGGGUUCACUACAAGGAGAAAUUGUGAAGUCCAUCUUGCUUUUCGAUGUCCUUGAUUAAGCGAGUUUGUCAAAGGACAUGCUCAUCUUAAUCCCUGCACUCAAGUUUUCUGCUUUAUCUUUAUUUCCUCAUAUCAUCCACUUCAGUUUUAGCCAUGAUUCUAACAAUUGUGGAAACAGUCUACGAAUCUUGUAUCUGUGCCCGCUUUGUAGCAUCAACUCUAAUACACCUGACAUUGGCAAUGAUAUGUUGUUUUAUACUAGCUCCGAUUCUCAUUUCUUCUCUUAGAGUCCUCAAGGAGACUUUAAAGAUCUUCUCCUCUAUCCCAUGUCCCUUAUUUGACACAACACUCGUAGAAUAUUCCCAUCAUGCUUGAUCCCUUCACGCAACAAUACUACCUCAGGUGGAGAGGAACAAGAAAGUACAAACAACCUGGAGUUGACAACUCUAGGAUUUAUACCUUAUGUUCCCUCCUCCCUUACUCACCAAGCCCUUCGAGACCUUCGAAGCAUUUCCGCACAAGCAAUUUGUAGAAUAAUAUGGCUUUCUUCAUAGAGAACACUUCAUACUGCUUAGUUAUGCUACUUCUAUGUCAUCUUGUUUACAACAUUUCAGACCGCUCCCCCACUUACUGCCUUAGCCCAUCUUCUUAGGCAGCUAUCAAUCAGAUACCGGAGUUGAACAUCUCUUUAACUCCUUGGUAAUAGAAUCAACUCAAUCUUGAUCACCCUUUUCUCUACACCAUAUUCUCCAAGUUUUGACCUUAUUCAGGACGAUUUUAAGCUUAGUCAUGUCUCUUGAAUUUGUUGUCACAAUCCGCUUACUCUAUUAGAAUCAAGUGCCACAUUCUUUUGUGUCAGCCCCAGAUGCUGAACAGCUCCUUUAUGUACGUUCCUUAUGAAUUGGAGUUUACCAACUCUCUUGAAUAACAAGUGUUACAUUCCUAUAGUAAAAUUGAAGCUUAUCAUUUCAUAUCCCUUUUCUCAUGUGUAUUGUGAACAUACUCUAUCCAUAGGACUUUACACUUUCCUUCUUUGAAUAAAUUUAGCUUUAUAGUUCGAUCACAUAAAUGUUGUUCUUUGUAUAUCUGCAUAGUCACAAUUCCCAAUAACAUUAAUAAAUAAGUUCAUACUAAAGAGAAAAUUAUUUACCUCCAUCCCACGACAACGAUUAAGGUUCUAGGAUUCCACCCUUGCCUACUUCAUAGGCAUUAGUUCGUAAUUCACGCCAUUGAUAAGUAUUCCGCUGGUUCACUUCUGGAGUAUUGCUCAUAGUCUAUGUUAUGUCAUAUUUAAUAUUCUUGCACCAUUCCUGCAAGAAAAAAACACAUGAAAGGCAUAUGCCUCAAUUCUGUCUCAGGAGGCCUCUUGCCUCAAUUCUGAGUGGAAUAGUCUCGGGAUUCUCAAAUGGCCUCAAGCUCUAUUGGCUUAUCCUCCCCCUUAUAACUAUACCAUGAGGUCAUUACUUCCUCUCCAAGGGCCACUAAAAGGGAGUAUGUAGCACCUAGUCAUUACCCUCUCUCCAUAAGACAUUCUCAAUGGAUUGUGCAGUACUGAGUCAUUACCUUUCUCCCAAUGGUGUCCCUAGUGGAGCGUGCAGCACCUCUAGUUAAUAUGGCCGAUCUAGCCUGAAGGCUCUCGCUUUUGUCUUCCUUACCUCACAACGUGCUACUACUCCUCAUAGUUUCAUAAUUAGGAGGUCACUGCCUCCUCCUUUCAUCACUUUACACUCAAGAUCACCCCACCAGGUGUCAUUCGCAUGGAAGAGGUUUUGGGAGGCCUCAAUCUCCCGACAAUUUGGCUAUCAUAGCCAACAACGUUCAUUUUUCCCUCUGUAGUGCCUCAAGGUACUUCUAACCAGAAUCAAUCUCCAACGCCUUCCCCUCUUAGUUGGCAUAGGCAUCCAACCAGGCAGCACGAUUCUCACCCUUCUCUCAAGGGCCUUCCUGCGUGUGCCAAACUUUGUCAUUCCCUUAUAUUGCUUGUAGAUCUUCCUUUGCUCUGAUACCAAUUGUCACGGUUUCAGAUUUUAGCAGUCGCCUGAAACCAUGCGGUACUUGACUUGAACACCUUCAAACCAAGUUAGCCUUAAAAAUCGCCCGAUACGCUGUGAACAUGAUUUCCCUAAUUAGUCAAGGUUAUAUAAGCAAACACCGAAACCAACAGGCAGCAUUCCAUUAGAAGCCUCAUAGUAGGCACAAAAGAAAAGAAUUGAACAUUAAAAUUCAUGAUCAGGCUACUUAUUUUAUUCCAGGGGCAAAAUAGUAAUUAUACAUUAUUAUCGACGCAAUGAUUCUCACCUCCCUUGUAGACAGGGGGGACAGUCUACAAGGAGUGAAGGCACACUUGAGUCUAUAAGGAGUGAAGGCACACUUGGGAUCUCCGUAGGCCUACAGUAGUCAACUGGGCCCAGCCCCAGCUGGUGGCCAACUAGUCACUCCCCCUAAAGAGCCUUAGGAACAACUUGAUUUGUGGUAGAAGGAGAAAUCAACAUGUCUCAUAUGACACCUCCAAAAUAAAUACAAGAAAAGGAAUUUCAACAAAUUGUCUCGGCUCUUAUCUUCCUAAUAAUUCCUACUAAUUUAUCCCAUUAUUGUUUCCUAGGAACUCCAAUGUUGAAAAAUUACAAUUUUGAUCCCUGAAAACUCUGUAACCCUGAGACAAAGGAAAGAUCUAAAAAUCUUAAGCGUUACAGUUUUGAUCCCUGAAAACUCUAUGACCCUGACACAAAGGAAAGAUCUAAAAAUCUUAGGCGUUAGAAUCACAACCACCAAAUCUCCAAAUUCAACGUCUGAAACCUCGUCAAAGAUCCUAGUACCUUUCAAAUCCAAACCAACUCAACGACAUUAACAAAAAUUUAAGUUCCAAAAAACCAGCACCUAAAGACCAAGGCCCAUUAUACUUCAAAUGGGACCAAACCUCCACUCUGUGCCUCAAACCAAAGGCCCAAGUGAGCCAUUUACUUGGGAGUUGCAGGCAUGGCCACUCCAGUCUUCUCCCAGUUUGUAGCUUAACAUUUCCGUCCAUAUAUACUGGAGCAUUACUAUUUACUGGUUUCAGCUGACAAGUAUGAUUAGCCAAAUUUGCCAUGCUAGAACCUUAAAUCUCUUAUAGCACAAUUUGCAACCUCAAAUCUCUUUUUCGUGAAAUAAUGAAUAAAUAAAAGAAUCAAGUGAAAAACGCAUUCAAAAUUUAAAACCUGAAUGAACCAAAGCACUUUGGUUCUUCAUGUUCAAAUCAAUUAAAACAAGAAUAAAUAAGAGCAGCACACACGAAAAAAUAUCAGAUACAAAAAACAAUUAAUUUAUUUCCCGCUGAUGAUGACAAUAAUGGCCACCUCCAGAUAUACAUUCCCUCUUUCCUUGGUGAGCACGUGCCAGUUACCAAUGGGAAAAACCGACCUCCUUUCAAUCACGAAAGGAAUGGAUGAAAAUGCCAAAAUAUUCAAGGCUACAAAAAAUUGAAGACAUGUAUGUCUACAUGGAUUUUCACUCUUUCUGAAGCUCUUACUGCAGGUAGUAUGCCAAUGUCCACUAAAGUAUUUCAAGCCAAUCCUUCAGUUUGCAACAAUCCGGGAUAGAGCAUAGAUAUUGUCUGUUUCAAGGAUUUUACUGAUGCUUUUAAGAAAAUUUGCCCCUCCAUUGCUACAAAAGCAAACAAAAUCAGAGAGUUAUUAACUUAUUACACUGCAGAAAAUUGAAAAAGACAUAGAUGAUUGCUAGCAGGAGCAGGUUGAAAAGGGAUUUACCUUUUAACAGCAAUUUGACUUCCUUUGAGAAAUCCUCCACGCGCCCUAAUACUGGUCUUAUUCCACAAAUCUGCAGAACACAUAACUCUAAAUAUAGUGCCAUAUCCAGCAUUUGAAGCAUUAAGAGACAGACUGACUGGAUUUCUGGAUCAAUUUGCUUCGAUUUGUUUGCAUUACACAGUUCAGAAACAAUAGCAAUUGCUUGAUCCUGCAUAUUCCAGAAAAAUAGUUAGUCAACAGACAUCAGAGAAAGAAAAAAAGAAACUAUUGCUCAUCUGUUAUGGGAGUUAGAGAAAGUAAAAAACAACCAAAUACUAGGCAAUCAAUCCUUGACUUUGAAUUGUCCCAAAUUUUCAGUGACUCCUAAUUCAGAUAAUUGAACGAGCAGAAGAAAUACUGAUAUUACCUGCAAGCCAUGUAAUAUCUCGGGCAUUGGAAGCUCAGGAAUGUGGGCAAGAUCAAUAAAUCCCACUUCAUCCGACCUCCUAAGAGCACCCUCUGCUUCUAAACAGAGAAAUUCCAAUAGAAGAAAUGCAAUUCUAUAUAUCUGCAAGGCAACUAUGUCUGAGAAAUAUGUUGGAGAAACAGUAUUUGUAGUUUCAGUUGAUUGGCUCUUGAUUACAAGAGCAGUACCGGUGACUGAGACAGUGGAAAGUUUGGGCCUUGAUGCACAACAAAUAGGUGAAAGCGCAAACCAUCCAUUGCUGAUAUUUAAAAAGGUUGGCUUCUUGCAGCAAUCAAAUUCAUCUUUGAAGAUAGGAGGACAGAAAAGAGGGGCAGUUCUGCUGGGAGAUUCUCCAAGACGAUGAAUUCCUCGGCUAAUAAAGGCCAAUAGAUGGACACUUUUCUCCCGCAACUGUGAAUCCAUUUCUUUCAUGGCCUUAACCCACAAAUUCCGAUGGUUUGCUAGAGUGCACAUAAACAAGAGGGUAUGCUCGGUUUCCUUGAGAGCACUCAAAGAAGUUUGUGUCCUUUGUGCUCGCAGUCUUUUCUUGUCAUGAUUAUCAGAUGGAAACUCAGGUGCAUCAAGAUAAUAAGAAAUCAAAUGAGCUUUCUCUGAAAAGAAAUAAGGUAUUACAUUGUCCAUUAGAUCGGAGUAGUAAGAGUCUCCCAAAGAAUGAAUCACAGCUGUGACCACAGCCAAGCCAAGACCCCAAAUGUGUUGUGGCUUUUCUUCUUUCUCAGAUGGCUUUGUAAAGCUAUCGUUAUUAACAACAGUUGUGGAAGGCCUACCACCUAGUAGGUUGUCAAACAAUGCCCUAAGAGAUGAGAAAAAACCAGCAUUAAGAAGCAUCUCAGCGCCUCCUCUUACCUGUGCUAAAGUCAAGAGGAGCUUCAAUGCUACUGGAAUUGAUGCAAAAGAAUCAUCUUGAAGCUUUAGAAUGACAUGCUGCAACUGGAGAUGUGUCCGUAUGACAGGGAACCAAGUACCAGGCGCCAAAAAACUUCUUAGUAUAAAGUCAAUGAUAGUCAAGGACAGGCCACUAUGUUCAGCAGUAUUAAUACAAUUACAUAAAAUAGGCAAUAGUCCAAGGCAAACGUUGGAAAUCUCAGCAAAGCCUUCAGACUCCUUGUCUGGAGUUUUACUGCACUCCACUGCAAAGAGAAGCAGCAUAAGCAAGACCUUCAAUGUUUUGUUACGCCCAUUAAUGGAUGAACGGAGGCCAGUCAGUAUUUUUAGGCCAGAACCUGAGGUUUUCAAAACUAGUAUACAAGCAGAUAAAGACAAGUUGCCUUGGGCUGAUCUUACGAGAUGGAGAAGCAAUUCUGCUUGUGCAGAAAGGAAAUCAAGAAUCUCUUCAGAGGCAUAAAGAACUGCAGUCAAUGAUUGAACUGUGACAUGAAAAUGUUGGCAUAUUUUAUCAAUGCAUGAGAAGCAGAGUUGACGGGGAAUCUUUCCUCCAACUAUAGCCUUUUUCACCAUAGCCUUUUUCUCUGGCAACUUCACACAAAUAGAGUUGAAUCAUUUUAACAAGAGGGGAAAUACAAAAAAAUGAUCUAAAGUAUAUAGAAAUAGAUGAAUAUUAAUCUAAAUUAUGAAAAAUAUACAAAUCGAUAUAUCCCAUCCCAUCCCAUCCAGCACACCUGGCACCCCUAAUAGUAAUAACAAUAAACAAGAAUAGAAAGGAAAAAGGAUAAAAGAAAAGGGUUAAUUGGUAAACUGUGCCCUUGAUCUUGAUAAAAAGGCUAAACAUCUGAUAGGCAGGCGCACCAUGUUUAUAUUCAAUAGCUAGAGCUUAAAGCCAAUAUUUCAUCUAUUAUUAAACACAGUGCUUCUGAUGCUUAUGAAGAAAGAAAAUGUAAAGAUCAAAGGAUAACAUAUAUUCUGAAAGAAAGAAUGUAGUAAGCUAACAUCAGUCAUGGGUCACUUCUUCACAACCUGUUGGAAGAAUAACAGGCGGAUGCUCUAAGCCAAACCAAGAAAUGGGUCAAAUAAUACCAGCUGCAAUUUUGAAAGGUAGUCAAGUUCUACUUUAAAAAAACUGGCAGUCAUACACCCCAAUUUCCCCCACACCUGGUGCCUAACCUUGAACAGAAUGCUCAAGACACAUAAUUAAAACAUUGUACUCUUAACCAUUCUCAAAGGACAUGAUCAUGAUAUUGCACUCAACUAUAAGGAAGUUAACUUCAAAGACACCAAUAAAAAAUAAAUAUACAGGAGUUAAACAAAUAAUUUAGAAAAAAAAAUCCCCCCAAACCUUUGAUUAUAGUUAACCACAAAAUAAUAGUUUUAACAAACAUAUGAUAACAAUUCUUUAUUCAGUUUACAGCUCAACGGUUUUCCAUGUCAAAACUGUAACAAACCAACCUUGUAGAUCUUAAUGGUGCAAAAAAUUUGGCAAUGCAACGAAAACUAACAAAAAUUGCAUACUUACAUUAUCUUCAUACAAAGUCAACACAGUUAUCAAGGCUUUCAGAGCAGAAAACUUUGAAGUUGAAAGUAAAACCAUUGAAUUCACUUGCUGCAUGCAAUCCAACAUUGUUUCCGCAAUUGUUUUAGAUUCUUUCCACUCAGUAUAAUCCCACAUAUGUAGUCCCAAAUCUGUUUGUAUAUGAUUGAGAUCAUACAAGUAGAUGCUUUUGGCAUGCACAAAAUAUUCAUCAUUGUACUUUUGUUGGUAUGUCUGCAAACAUUUUGAUUCAAUCAGACAUAGAGAGAGUUCUUUGAAUGGCCCAGGACCAAUUUCACGGCCUCCGAGCUCCCCUUGCAGAUGAUAAUAAAGAUCAUUGAGAAUUAGACUUUCUAGCUCCUUUCCCUCACUGAAAGUUAAAAAUCAGAAAAAUAAAAAUCAAACACAACAUAAACAUUUUCGGGACAUAAAAAGAAGCCAAGCAUAUUAGACACAUACAAGCAAACAAACCAAGAAAGCCACUUAUAAUGAAGUUAUUUAUUUUACUUUUUUUUUUUUUUGAGAAAAAUCAAGCAAAUAAACCUACCUCCACUUUUCUUCAUGUUAUUUCAAAAAUAGUUACUUUACUCUUUACAACAAUAUUUGAAGAGUUAGAACAGAGAGAAGGAUGGUUGGAGUAAAUUAUCUUGAUUAUUAUGUCAAGCCUUUUGGGAGAUAAAUAUGGUUUUACAUAAAUCCUAAUUAGGAAUACGAUUACAAGCACUAUACAGGCAUAUUAUAUUACUCUGCCUUAUUAAGAAUAAUUUCCUCAUCUAAGGCACAACUAAAGGGUAUCUUAACAUUAUUACUGAAAAGUGUAUAUUUUAGGAAUUAAAGAAUUUUGUAAAACAAAAUAAUAAAACCUCCAUGAGCAAAGAUUUAGCGCAUCCAUAUUCCAUAAAGCUCUGAUAAGUAGGAGCUUCAGGAGAGCAAUAGUUAAAAAAACAGAUAAUAAUAUAGUAAAAAUAAAGACUUUCAGUUUCUUUGUUCAGCUUAUCCUAUUUUUUGACUGAUACUUUGAUAGCUUUUUGUCAAAUCCCAUAUUCCAUGGAUAUGCACAGUUCUAUCGAUAAUAAUAUGUUCAGUUUUGGUUCUGGUAUGGUUCUAGUUAAAAACCAAAGUCGAAACCAAACUUCGGUUCUUUGGUUUUUUUAAAACCAAACUUGGAACCAAAUUUUGAUUCCAGUUUCGAUUCAAUUCUAAAUAAUUUUGAUACGAUUUCGGUUCAGUUCCAAUUCUUAUUUAAGAUCUUUUCAACUUUAAUUUUAGUUGUAAUUUUGGUUCAAAAUCUUAAUUAUUGCAUAUAAAAUUACAAUAUUCUUAUAUUCAUUUUUAAAAAGUAAAUAAUUUUAAUAACAAAAUAAAAAUAUUAACAUUUAAACAAUAAUAAUAUUAAUAUUAAAAAUAAAUUAUAAAUAAUUCUAAAAUUGAAUAUCAUUUUAUUUUAUAUAUAGUUAUUAAUUAUAUAAGUUUUAAUUAAAAGAUACAUGAGUAAUUAAUAUAUAAAAGUACAUUAUAUAACUAACAUGUGAUUCACUCUAGUGUUAUAAAGGUGCCGGAAAGGCACCAGGUAGGCAAGUAACAGGGCCUUUUUUCUAUUUUAAGUUGAAAAUGUGUUUUCAGUGAAAAAAACCCUAGUCUUUUAUUCUAGCAGCCGUCCAACAAAAGUCAGCAACUCUUCAUGGCCUCUCAAAGUUUCUCCCAUGACACAGGUAUGUUUCCUGUUCUCUCUCCUUAUUCCCUCUUUCUUUUCUUCUCUUCUCUUCACUCCCUUUUUUUUCUUCUCCUCUUCUUCUCCAUAACCUCUCUACACACAGCCUGAUUCAGAAUUUCUUUUUCCUAACAGCAACUCCCUCUCUCCUCUUCAACUUCAAGAUUCAACUCUCCUUUUCGUAAAAGGUAUGUUCUCUUCUCUCCUCCUCUCUUUCUUUUAUUCUUCUAUCCCUCUCAAUGAUGUUGUCAUGUUCUACCAGUAAUAACUUUUUUUUGUUCUAACAACAACCUCUCCCUCUCCUCUUCAACAUCAAGUUGACUCGGGUAAAGUUGUUAUGAAUCAAGGUCAGUUGCAAAAUUAACUCCAAUUCAAACUUCAUCAAUCCAAGGGUCAAGUUCAAAGAAAGUUUCAUUCUCUUCAAGAAUAGUUGAUGAUGAUGAUGCAGCAGAGUAAGAAUUUGUAAUGGUUGCUUGUGAAAAUGAUGAUUUUGGAGACCUUGAUGCUGAUGAUGAGUAGUUUUAUAUAUAAUGAAGAUUUUAGGAACAUUAUUUAUAAAUUAUGUUCUGCAUUUACUACUUAACUUAAUUGACACUUACUGUAAUUUUAUUUUAUAUUUAGAACUUUUGAAAUGAGUUGUUUUAUUCAAUAAUUUUAUUGUUAUUUACAUAUUUGGUUGCUCAUGCUUCUUACGCUUUACGGUUUCAAUUUUAUUUUAUACUUAGCUGGAAUUGCAAGUAUGCACUACUUUUGCACUUCACUUAUAUUAGUGCAAAUAGCAUACAUUUCUUCUUUUUUUUUUUACAGUUUUUUCCUUAAAAAACUAGCCAAAGUUUGAUAUUUUUAUGUUGCAAGACUAUAUUUAUGUAUGCAUAUAUAUAAAAAUAUAUAAAAAAUUUUAGCUUUGGCGCCUCUUCAAAAAGGCAAUCACCUCUUGCCUAAGGCAACAAGGUACCUAUUGCUUUAGUGUUGCCUCUCUCCUUAACAAUACUGAUUCACUCAUAUAAUUUAGAAAUAUAAAAGAAUUUAAUGCAUUUAUGACUUAAAUUAUUUUAAGCACUAUAAAAAUAAAAGAUAAUAUUAAAUUAUAUACAUUCAUACUUAAACAUAAGUUAUAUAUCUAUAUGCAAUUAUGAUUAGACAUAAAUAUGUAUAUAAUUUUAUUAAAAUUAUAAAUACAUCUAAAAAACAAAUUUAUAAAAUCAGUUCUUUAGUUUGAUUUCGGUUUGAUUUUUAAUAAAGAAAUAGAACCAAACGAAAACAGAAAAUGUCAAUUUAGUUUGGUUCUUACAGCAGCGGUUCUUUUUUGGUAUGGUUCUUUGAUUUGGUUCAAGAAUCCGAAAAAUCAUGCACAACCCUAGAUGAUACUAAGGAGAUGCUUGAGAAUAUUUUCUAGGAGACAAAGGCUCAUCAAGUACAAUUGGAGAAGUCAAUUUUGCUGCAGACUUGUAGCUAGUUAUAGGCUUAUACCAUUCAGCACUCUCACUCUGAAGAGGAAUACUUUUGUUUGAGUUUUUGCCAAAUAGGUUGGAGCCAGAAAGAUUUUAUGUACAGGUGUUUUAUACAAGUUGCCUUUCCCAUAAAGUUGAGUUUUAAUAGCACCGUUUAUCAUAGACACACAAAAUAAUAUAAAAAUUGAGGGACUAAAGUGUUGUUACUGAACAUAUUAGGGACGAAAGUAUAAUGAAAAAGUAUUGCAUCUUGUACAUCAAGGGCUAAAGAGUAGAGAAGGGAAGAAAAUAUAAAUCAGGCCAAACUUCAAAAGGGGUUUACUAUUGUUGGAAUUGGUAAAGAUUCUAUACUCCAACUUAAAGGGAGCAUUAUUGGAAGUUAUUCCUAUUUAUUGUAGGACUUAUAUCCCUAAAUAAGUAAAGAAAUUUUAUGUUUAUAUAUAUCUAUUAGUUGGAGAAUCCCUUGUUUUUGGUAUCAUGCCAUAUAUACUUUGGGUUUUCCACUAUAAAUAUGGAAGUUUAUGCAUUAUGAGAAUAGAAUGCAAUUAAAUAAAAAUGUAGCCCUUUGAGGUUUUGCAUCCGUGGAUGUAGACUCUUGUAGCCGAACCACUUAGAUCUUCUCCUAUUAUUUUCUUCUUUCUCUUUUAUUAUUCUAAAUUUAACAUGGCGCUUCAAUACUAAGAUUGAAAGCAAAAUUAAAGUUAAAAUAUAACUAAUAAAAGCACCGGAACCAUAUCGAAAUUGCUUAAACCAAGCCGAAACCAAUACCAAGUUUAAUUCAAAGUCUGGUUCCUAAAAAUAAAAAGGAUGAAAGUAUGAUUAUAAUUCCAGUUCUUAGCUAGAAUUGUGUUGGAAUCAAAACCAAAUACUUAUAUUCCCAAAGUAGUUAAAAGCAUAAGGCAUAGUCAAGUAGAUGUAUCACGCCACCGCUUAAAGCACUAUAAAAAGUGUUCACUUCAUCGAAGAAGUGCAAAUUAAAAAAAAAAAAAAUUAUAAUAUGCAAUGAAUAAAACCCUCCCUAUAAAAUUUGAACCCUUAAGAAAUCAUCAAACAUCUAAAAGUUUUUAGCAUUCAAAUUCAUAAGCAUAACCUAUGAAAUUCUUUAACAUAAAUAAAGUCUACCGUUCAAGAGAAGUGGCAGCCUAGAGAGCUAUUCACUAGAUUUUCCAUCAAAGUCCAUAACACCCUUUAACGUCAUUUUUUUAAUCAUAAUACUCUUUAAGAAAAUAAUUUUUUAAAAAAAAACUCUAAAAUCAAGGGCUUCCUUUGCUUUGCACUAAAAAUGAGACAUGCACUAAAAACAAAAAGCCCUUGCUUCACUAAACGUGCUCUUCCCUGCUUAGCAUAAAUGCACUUCCCUAUUCAAUGUUGUACUUCAGCACUUUUUGUGCAUUUGACUACAUCGGCCUCCCCCUUCUCUGUCAUUUUUCCUACUAAUUUAUCAUACUUUUGUAUGGGGGUAUUUAGCACUUUACGUUAGACAUAAUCCAACCAUUUUAAACUAUCCUCUCAUUUUACCUCAACAUGUGUUACAUGCAGCAUAAAAGCUUCUGUUAAAACAAGAAAAAUAUAUUUAAGAGCAUAACCGGUGGUUGGUUUUCCCUAGAAUAUAAUCAACCAAGAUUGAUGGACUUUAUACAUUAACUUUAGGAAGAUUACAUGUUUAUGAGCACUUCAACUAAAUAAAUCUCAUAUCCACAAUCUCAGUCUAAUAGAUUCCUUGGUUAUGAUUGGUACAUUUGACAAAAGUUCAAAUACAAAGCUAGAACAUAUAUGCACAUUACCUGUAACCUCGUUUUGAGUAUUGAGCCAACAAUUCAGAGAAGGCAGGCUGACACUUCAACUGUUACAAGGGCAAAAAGAAAAAGACAAAAUCUGACCUCAACAAAAUUGAACAGAAAAGCAGGAAAAACUGAAUACAGCAGUUAAAAAGGAAUUACAAUGAGCUUUCAAAGAGCAAACCAAAUGACUCAUAAUGUAAGUUUAUUUUUUCUUCCCUUGAAUUGAAUAAAAAAAAUUUUUCACGUUGCUUUAGCCUCAUCAGAACCGGUCAUUUUCUGGGAUUGGCAGUGCCAUUAGGAUAAGUUCUGGGCUGUUCGGUUUCUGGCCUCUACUGAUAGAACUUGCAUUUUUUACCUCAUGAUAUUCCAGUUCAUGCUCAUUCUUUAGAUGUGGUUUAGUUCUUCACACUGAUACUCUUAUUGGUUCAUAUGGUCUUGCUACUUGCUAGGUUGAGGUAACAUCUUGGACUUUUACGUUUUUUCUUAGCAGGUGUUUCUUAAUGAAUGUACAUUAAUAUGUAUUAGUGACUAUCUGAUUUAUCAGAAAAGAGAAACAAUCUGGGUUAUCUUUGAACAGUCGGCUUAAUGUGAAAAUAACAAGUUGGCCAUCUAGAGCAAGGAGCAUACAUCUUCAAAAGUGUCACGGAUCUUCUUAAGCAAUGAUGCAGAUAAACUUCCAGUGUUGCCAGUUUCUAACCUCACAAUCACAUGGACAAUGAACAUACUUGCAGAAACCUGCAAAUUGCAGAGAACAAACUCAUUAAUGUAGUAUCAACAAUUACCAUUAUUUGUUACUAGAGGGAGUUAAGACACCAAGUGGACAUAAGAGAAUCCAAUGAGAAUAGAGACAGAAUGUAAGUUAACAUGAUCCUAGAUAAUGAAACGAGCACAAACACCCAUCCUACUCAAAGAAAAAAAGGACGGAAGGAAAGUGAAAAAGAUACCUUUGCACGAUAAAAAAUUUGAUCGUCAUAUUCACAGUAAGUAUAUGACUUCAUUAGGUUCCCCAAAAUGGAACUAUCACACCAACUCGACAAGAUAUCUUCCAGCUCAAAAUCACUUGCAGAUUGCAAUUUUUCUGUACCACCCACAUUUUCUGUGUUGCCCUUAGAAUGAGGAGCUUCUUUUAGAAGCGACUCCGCAUGCAACAUUUUUUUCUUCAGAAACAUCUCAUAUGCCAUUAUUUCCAAUACAGCAGAUUGACAGCAAUAUUUGUAUACCAAGCUUUGAGCUUCCACUUUGGUCAAAUUUUCAAGCACAGAAGUUUUCAAGCUAGUAACUACUGAAAUACAGUUACAGAGUUGCUUCCAAAAGGUUCUAGUGCUUUUCAGAUGCUCCAAAACAUUAAUAUACUGAACAGCCCCUUCCCACAAUGCCUUUAAGAAAUGUAAUACACUGAGCAAUAUGCGGGGAUUGCUGGAGAAUAAGAGAAUUAAUGGAUAGUAAUGUAAAAUAUAAAAGGUUCAAUUAUAUCAAAUAAGAACAAAUUCAAAAAAUAAUAUUUUGUAAGAUAUUGGGAAUUCUACAAAAUCCAUCAAUUUUGACUUUUAGACCAUAAGUUCUACACUAGCUCUCCAAGACUUCGUUCUUGUAUGUUGUUAGAAUUGACGAGGUUCUCCUUAAAUUAAGAAAGAAAAUUACUCCUUAAUAUAGGGAUUUAUUAUCUCCUUAAUUUAAGGGAUAUAUCUCCCUAAAUUUAAGGAUUUAUAUUUUGAUAAUUUCUCAAUAAAAAUAUGCACUAUGUAUUAUGUAAGAGUUGUGGAAAUUGAGUAAAGAUGUAGCCCUUUUAGUUAUUUUUCUCCUCUUCUAUUGUUUCCCUUUCCUUUUUCAUUUUCUCAUAAUAAAAAUUUCACAUGGUGUCAGAGCCAUUUAAAUUUCUAGCUCUCUUUUAUGUUCUUCUUCAGAGUUUAGAGUUGGGCUUGGAGUCCCAACUCACUUUUUCCUUUUCUUCUCCUCAUAGUUUUGGACAUUCAUCUCUAUUAGAAAAUUCUGGGGGUUUCUCUUGCUUAAUCUCCCUUAAAGGUUCUGGGAUUAUUCUCUCUCCUUCAUCAUGAUUUGGGAGCCAAGGGUUGAAGACCCUACUCUCUUCUUAAUUUCUUAUCCUUCAUCAGAGCAAGGGUUGAAGUCCUCACUCUGUUUCUUUCUCUUUCUAAAGCUGUGGGUUUGAGUACCAAAAUCUAUUCUCCUUAUAGGUUUGAGUCCCUAAACUCUCCUCCUUCUCCCUAAAUCUCAAUUCUAAAAGUUUGUUCUUUUAACCCAGCUUUCAAUGAACACGAGGGAACCUGACCAAGAUUGUUGCUGCCUCUUGAAGGUGUUGGUAAUCCUGCUUUGUUGUUGGACCCAUUGCAAUGCUUGAAGGAUAAUUUUUGGGUCACCUUUAUGCUAAUGGUUUUACUUGUUUGUGUUACUUAAGGGUUAGUCUUUGGAUUCAAUAAGAAUCUCAUCAAAGGGGAGCAUUAGAAUUCAUGAGAUUCUUCUCAAAUUAAGAAGAAAAUUACUCCUUAAUUUAGGAAUUAAUUAUCUCCUUAAUUUAAUUAAGAUCUAUAUUUUGGUAAUUUCUCAUUAUAAAUAUGCACUAAAUAUUAUGUAAGAAUUUUGAAAAUUGAGUAAAGAUAUAGCCUUUUAGUCAUUUUCCUUCUCUUCUAUUGUUUCCCUUCCCUUCUUUUGUUUCCCUUCCCUUCUUUCUUUUUCUAAUAAUAAAAAUCUAACAUAUAUUUAAGGGGGAUUUAUGCCUAUGAACAAAAUCAUAAACAAAAUGGGAGAUCCAUUAGUUGAUGCAUUUUCAUAUUUGAGAGGAUAAGCUUCACUUUUGUCAUUUUCUUCUCUCUCUCUCUCUCUUUUCCGAAAGCUUGAGUUCAUUUCUUCACAUAUUUUCACUCUUCCAUAUAGUUCCUUUCACACAGUUCUAACUUUUAUUACCUAAUUUAAUCUACACCAACUGCCCUAGGUUGCAUCAAAAUAAUAAACUGACUGAAAAAGGAACCACAAAUCAAAUCCUUGCAAGACAAACCUGUUAAUAGAAUCACCAGCUUUAUCUACAUAUUGCAUAAGUGCAUCAAGCAGACUUGAUUUCUGGGAUCCCAGAGCACCAUUGGAAAUUUCACUCAAUUGUUGCUUCACACCAGCGGUAUUACUUGAUUGGACUUCACUAUCCACUUUCGGAGCUAAAAUUGCAAGAAGAAAAGGAGGCUACAUAAAGAAACCACCGAUAAGCAAACAAUAUUUGGACAAAACCAAAAAGAUAAUAUUGCAAAGAGAACUUAUUUCAACAAAAUAAAAGAUGAUCUAUUCAUUUCUCAAAAGGAAUUGUAAUAAAUUUACAAGUUCUAUAUAAUUGAAGCACAACUUGGUUCAACUUGGAACUCAAACUUUUAUGCAAAUACAGGAACACUGGGGCAAUCAAGAAAGGUUCCUGAAGUUUCUAGAAACAUGCUCCAAUCAACCACACCCUCUGCAAUAAAAAGCACAAUGCCAGAUGCAUGUGGGGAACACAUUCUUACCAAAAUAAAUGUGUCUGCACAUCUGUACCAUUUAGAGGAAGAUAAAGCUCAUUGGAUUAUUAGUUUUAAAAGUACAUUAAAUACAUUAGAGGCUUAUGAGGCAUCCGAAUAUGUAACAUGAUCAUUCAUUCUAUUAUGCAUCAAGAACCAAAACAAUCACCUCAACCUUAGAGAUAGAGGAGCCAUUUGUCUUCUCAAGUGAGAUGGCUAAGAAGUAAGAACUUCAUUCCUUCACCCAGUUUACAUUUGCAUAAAAACUAGAGGAGGUGGACUAUAUAGAUACUUUUCCGUUGUUUCACCUAGUUUAGAUGAUGUGCAGAAAAAUUAAAGGUGGUGGGCUUUUAUAUAUCCUUUUCCUUCGUUUUAUUUAGGGUUAAGAGUCAAAUCAACAACUAUUUUUUAUCCUAAAUUAAAUUGGCUCAGCUAUAUGGAUCUUUCUUGGCAAUUAGCACUGUUAGUCAAUAUCCAAAACUUGUAAAUCCAUUUGAUACCACUUACCUCUAUGUCAUCUAAGGUUUCCGCUUUUCCCUCCUUACUCCUUCCCUUACUAACUCAUCCCACUUCCAACUAAGGCAUUUGUUGCUCUAUCAGAGAUGACAAACCAUCUCACAUUCUUACUCCUUUUUAGAGUUACAUUAGUGGAGAAACAAACACACACAGUGUGUGUGUGUGUGUAUAUAUAUAUAUAUAUAUAUCAAGGAGAGGUCUAAUUUUCUUUUGAAUUUCUUCUCGUUGGCUAACCAAGAACAACAAUUUUGCCUAGUCGUGGUGCCUGGUUAGCAAGCAAGAACAAAUUCAAAAGACAAUUAGACUUCCUCUCGACCACUCUAAUAUCCUAAUACCAGGUAACUUAAUAUAAGGGGAUGAAUAAGUUCAACUUCCUAAGUGAAAAUGGAAGAAAGUAGGUUUAGAAAUUAGAAAGUCAAACUUCUCGAUAAUUAGGCCAAAUUAUUGUGCUUGGUUAGCCAACAAGAACAAAUUCAAAAGAAAAUUACACCUCCCCUUGACCACUCAAUAUCCUGAAUACCAAGUAACUUAAUACAAGGGGAUGAAUAAGUUCAAAUUCCUAAGUGAAAAUGGAAUAAAAUUACUUGAAACUGAAAUAAUAUUCAAAAUUUCAAAUACUUUCAUAAAAUAAAUUUAUAUUGAUAUGAUAAGGAAAUUCUUGUAUUUUCCAAUAUCAUUGCUAGAAAGUCGGAGAAUUAACCAAACAAAUAUUAGUAUGCUUAAAAAAACAAAUACUAAAAGCAAAACGUCUGACUAAAUAACUCCUUCAAAAAAUUUUGUUUCGUAGUUCAUAAUUUCCUAGAAAUAGACAUGUUUGGGCCUAACAAGAUCCAGGGAUGAUAUUCUUACCCUUAUUAUGAUUCCAUGGCACCAAAAUAUCUCAAACUCCAUUCUCUCAAUGGCUGGAGCUUCUACCUUUACAUAAAUUAUACAUUCACUCCUUACGUGGUCCAUCCUUGUAUGCUGACACAUCUAUCUUAGCACCAUUAUUUUUGUCACACAAAUCUGAUGCAGAUGUUUCACUACCUAACAAAAUGCCAUAUAUACCAUAGCUCAUUGAAUCGUCAUCUUACAAAACUUCCCCUUCAACUUAUCCAGUACUUUAUAAUCAUAUAAGACUCUUGUUGCACUUCUCCACUUAAACAUCCAACUUUCAUCUUAUCAUUGUAUCCUCUUUGCUUCAAUGAAGCAAAGACGCUCUGUUUUGGCAAAGUAUCCAUGUCAAAACUGUUGCAACACAAGAAGCAUGUGAUGCUCUUCUAAUACAUGUCCAUACAUGAUGAAAUUCAUGUACUUUUGGUGCAACCUAUGGAGACCCCUUUUUCCUUGUCAUAUUAGUUGCCUUGAACAUACUAUUGAUGCAAUAUUCUAAACUUCCCUUUUAAAGGAUAUAGUUCUCAAAUUCUUGUCAUUGAUAUAUAUGAUAAGCAUAUACUACAUUCAUACAUUUCAGUAUUGAAAAUGAAUUAAAAUUAUUUUUAUGUUGUAUAUGAACACCUUUCCUUUUAUCAUAUAAUUCAAUUGAAAUAAUUAUAACUUUAUAUCGGAAAUAUGAUAAAAAUAUAUAUUUUAUUACUGUGUUGCUUCCAUGCCCUGUCCUAAUUUUUCUAAGAAUAGCCAUGUCAUAUCAUAAACAUGUCAUGUGCCACGCCCAUGCUUCACAGUGUUGCUUCCUCCAUCUCUUUAUAAAAUAGAGCCUACAUACUUGAAAUGUGCGCUUUAGGAACCUUUAAGUCAUGCCAUUUAUGUAUACCCAACUUUGUUCACCUUGUUCCCUUGAUUAAAACUGAAAUACAAUAAAACUUUAACUUCACGAACCUGAUGGCGAGCUGCAGAAUUAAGCAGACUGGCCAUAGCAACAAAUAGGUCUUCAUUCCACUCCAUCCGAUCAAAUAAUGCACUUUUCAGAGAAUGUCUUAUAUCUGCUAUCUAAUUAAUAGCGGUUAAUCAAGAUUCAGCCUAGUAACAACCAGGAAAAACAAAAGGAUGUAAUGAAAUAAAAAGAAAAAGAAAAUGCCAAACCUGCUCAUCAUCCAGACCAAAACACACAUUGCUAGCAAUAUAUGGCUGUAAAUUAUCUGCCAUCAUCAACAAUUUAGAUAAUACCUUAGCAGCCCCAACCUGUAAUGCCUGCAUAGAGUAAUGUGGAGCUUUUGUUUGAUAUAUGACUAAAAAAAUAUGCAAUAAGAGUAAAAUUAAUAAUAACACAUUAGCUUGUGAAAUGUGAAUUGAUUGAACAUAAGAUAAGAUUUCAACCACAUAAUGUCCUACUUCUAACAAAUAAGAAUCCUGGCUUUUAUUCUACCCCUCAUGUUAUUGUCUCCAAAACUACCAGGCUUUCUAGAAAAUUGCUUCAAUCACCAGUGGAUUAGUGGAUCACUUGAGCUUGCUCAAUACCCCCCCAAAACUUGCUAAAACAUAAGCAAAACAAGCCCUAGAAUGUUAAGUAGAAUCAACAUAAAAUAUUUAAAAAUAUGAUUUCAUCUUCCAAUAUUUAAAAACAAGGUUUUCAAUUUGGACCGCUCUUAAAAACAAGCAGAGGAAGAGUGUCCCUGUUUACAGAUUCAACUAAGAUUGAACUUAAAUUACAUUACAAAUUAUAUAAAAUCUACUAAAAUUAUUAUAAUUUAUUUACAUCAUAAUUAACUAAAAAGCCAUAGUAUCAGUAAAAUUUAUAAAUAUAUUAUUUAGAUUAGUAUAGAUUAGUAUAACAAAACUAAAAUGCAAUAAAAUAUUCAGAGAAUUAUUUUAAAUUUUAGAAGUAAAUAUAGCUAAACUAAAAUUUCAAAUAACAGAAAAUGUUUUUAAAUUAGGAGAAAGCAUUAAUUUAAUAAAUGCCAAUUUUGGAUUUAUAAAAUACAAGGAGAAAUAAUUAAAUGAUUUUUCAAGAUAAAGUUAAAAGUAUAAUUUUGAUUGAAAAUAACAAACUGGAUUGGUUAGCCUGAUGGAAAGUUGCUUAAAGAUUCUUCUUGAGAGUCCACAAUUGCAACCCUCCAUUGCAUAAGCCAUUAAAAUAUACCUUUUUUCAGGGUGAUGGGGCAACUUAUCAACAGGGGUGAUCAUUAGGUUGAUCUGGUUUGUUCAGUUCAAAAUUUGCAAAACCAGAACUUUUUGAAUGGAGAACUGAACCAAGCAACUUAUAAACCAAACCAAACAGAACCCCUAAAAAAAUUGUUUGGUUCAUCAAUUUUUAAUAAAAAGAAUAUGCACAUGUAAUAUUUAUAUUUUUAUUUAUAACUGAUCAGAUACUUUUUUUAUAUGAAGGCUUAAAAAAUAAUAAAUAACUGAAAAGCAUCAGUAUAAUUUUGUGUUUUUUGGGUUUAAAUCAAAUAACGCCCACCCACUACUUAUAAAGCAACCAUUUCAACAUAUGCAUACAACAGCCAACAUUCUUGAAUUCAACCUGACAGAAUUGGACAAUUUAACAGUCUUCUUUUAAAAUGGGUUUCAACUAUACUAGCCAAUGCUCUGGUUCUCUAAAUUUCAGGUUGAAUCAGUCAAGCCAGUGCAUUUCAAGUAUGAAAACUAUGUUGAAACUACAAUAAUACAGUUGCAACAUAUAACCAUGCAAUAAGAAACUACUGCAUGCAAAACUGUAUCACUUUCUCAUGAAUAAAGAUUCCACAAUAAAUCUGCAGAAUAAAAUGCACCAUUUGGGACGCAGAAUGAUAAUGCAAUUACAAGGAAUCAUAACAAAACUAAGCAUGCAACUUUCUUACAGAAUUGAGAGAAUAUGAUAUCAAGGAUAUAACAGCUGCAACAACAGGAAUCGGUUUGGUUGAAGAUGACAGCACUGCUUGGUGAAAGACAGGAACACUGGGCGAGAUAUCCUGGAAUCAACACAAUACAUCAUGUAGAUGGAUUGACAAAGUAAUCAGAUAAAGGAUUUUGUCGCAUAUUUAACAUGAACAUAUACAUUCCAACCAUAUACAGAUAAUUAAAAACAAUUGGACAAAUAAGAAAGCAACUGAUCGCCCAAAAGGAUCUCCAGCAAAAACUUCAAAUUCCUGUCUGAUUGAUGCUAGAUAGGUUAAUCUGGUUUUCUUCACUUCAGAGCAGAAACUAAAGGUUUUUUUUGGAUUGCUUAAAGUUGCAGCUCAAGAACAGCAGUCAUGAGACCUUGAUUGAUGUGCAUAUAAUGGAAGACAAAUACUAUUAACUCAAAUAAUAUGAUUAGAAGACACGAUUAAUCCUGAAAUGUACCUCAGAAAAUUUGGAGAUCAUGAUAUACAGAAUGUCCAGAGCAGAACUAAUAGCAAGCUGAAAUCCUUCUAUUUCCACUGGUUCAACAAGGCGGCUGACGUAAAGGUUCUGCCAAAAAUGUGCCUCCAAACAUAAGCAAAAAGAUAACAGUGAUAGGAAGCCAAGAAAGAAGAAAUGGCAAAAAUCAUGGCUGACCUCUAAGGUUCGUUUAGUUGUACAAACAUGUCGAAAGAUUACACUGUGGAUAGAAGAAUCAGAGAGCAAAAUAUCAUGGAUAGCCACACCCAAUUUGUCUAAAAAUGAGAUUGAUAAGACGCAUGUUUUCAUCACUUCCAACACCUAACAAAUUAAAUACAUGAUUAGAAAUUCAUUUUUACAACACAAAAAAUGAAAUGGCAAAUAGUCUUACCGGCAUUUUCCAUCUACCAAAUACCAAAGAAAAGCUAGCUUCACUAAUUUAUUGUUACAGAUGCUAUUUUCCAAACCCACAUGUAAACAUUUGGUUAAACCUGAUGACCAGAGCAGACAAGAGGAGUGAUUCCCAAGAAAGAAAACAAAAAUAAUAGGUGGUGCCAUGAUCUGGGAAAAACCAGUUUGAACUUUUCUUUACUUCUUUUUAUUCCAUUGUUUGUGCAUAGUCAAAGAACUUCAUCUUAAUACCCUUAGCUCCACCAAUAUUAUGUAUAAGUUGUUUCAUCCAAAAAUAUAGAUACCAAAAGAGGCUAUUAACCACAGUAACCCAAAUCGUGGUACUCUCGAGUCUUGGUACGGAUACAUGGUACAUGGUAUGCUAAUGAAUGAAAUAUAGGAUAUGUAGGGAUAGGCUUAACAUGCAUGCUAAUUCAACUAGUGGUAUGUGUAGUUGGUGCACCAAUUUAAUUUAAGGCAUGUAAAUUAUGUUUAUGCAAUAAUACAAUGUUUAUAUAAUUAAAUAUACAAAUAGUAGUUGAUAAUAUUUAUAUUUUCUGAAAAUAUUUUAAAGUUUAACUAAUAAAAUAAUAAUUUAUUCUCCCAAGUUAACGUUGCCACCUAUUCCACUAACAUUUAGAUCUACUAUCUGUGUCUCACUUAAAAAGCCUUAAAAUGUAUGUUCUACAUUUUAUUUUUUCUUUGUUAUAGCCCUUCCAUCGUUUUAUUUCUGGUUGGAACAUCUAUUUGGUGACUCAAAUCGCGUCUUCCAAUAAUUUGCGAUGCAAAAAUAUUGCAUUUCAGUACAAAGAACCUGGAACACGGUUCGCAAGAGGGUUGAGAGAAUCCAGCAACUAUGCUAUUAACAAAUAGAUUUUCAGGCUGCUAAAUCAGGCAGCUACUCACGGAAAAUUGACAGAACAAAGCCCCUUGAACAAAUUUUGAAGAUUUCUUAUAAGUUUGUCCAUAGUAGGAGAAGACAAAAAUGAGAAUAAAGAAACAAGAAAGAAAAAAAAAUACCUUCAAUGUUACUUUCCAUCUAACAUUCUUCACCUUGUAUUUCCAGUACUCAUGAUUAAUGAGAAUAUACUGCAUAGCAAAAAUAACUAAUGCGAGAACAAGAUCAUUUUCUAAUCUAGUCUCUACCAGCUGCAUGGUAAACUCCAGCACUGCAAGGAAUAAUAAUAUGCAAGUCAGAAAAAGAGGGAGAUAGAGAGAGAGAGAGAGAUCCGCUUAUGAUAUUUGAGUGAGCAUACAAAUAAUGUUUGAUAGGAACUACAAGUUUGGACCACAUAAAUUAAAAAAUAGCACAUAGUAGUAUAGUACACCAAUUAUAAAAUAAAGAAAAAUGAUAAACAAAUAUGAACCUUAUUUUUUUUCAAUCUCAGUUGAUCCUUUUGUUUUAUCAACUAUUAGCCUAAACUAAUGAUAUUGGUAACAAUUUUAAGGGGAACAGAAAUUUAAACACAUUCACACUCAUAACCUUUUCGCAAUCCCAUUAAAUAUAACUAAAUCACAAUUCCCUUCAUUUUUCAAAAAAAAAAAAGAUAUAUCAAAAUUUCCCAAGAAUUAGUAAUAAAAAUAUUUAAUUUUUGAGAAAAGGAAAAUAAUUUAAGGAAAAUAGUUUUUUUCCUAUUAGCAUUGGAAAGAAAUAGAAACCAUACUUUUUUGCAUAAUGUGUAUAACUAUAUAAGCUUUACAUGUAUACUCCAAUUAUUGAUUGAAAAUGUCCUACAAAGGUUUGGACUUUUUGUUAUUGAGAACUAAAUAAAACCAUAAAGAAUGAUUUGCUAACAGAGACAUCAUUGUAAAUUUAUGAUUAUGUCACCACUCAAUCAACCAAGUCUAUAUAAUUAAAGGAAAAUGGGUUCCAUAGCAAGAGAGGAGAUAUUUGGGCCCAUUUCAAAGAUGAGAAUUCUUCUCUCCUUUCUUCUAUGAAAUGCUACAUAAGACAACAUAGUUAAAAGAUUUAAUGUCAAUGCUUUUGUUAUUGAAGACUCAUGAAGUGUUGUUGCAUCCAAACCAUAGAUUGAUAUAUUAACUCAGGUACAAAGGUUAAGGCCCUGUUCCGCAAUAGUGUUUAGUGGCAGUGUUUAGUGUUUAGAUUAAGUCAAAUCACUAGUUUUUAUUAUUUAUUGUUUGGUAACUAUCUUUUUAUAGUAGUGUUUAAUGGUUGAUCUAGUGAAUAGUGAAAAACUACUCUCCCUAACAUUUAGUGUUUAGCAACCACUGGUUGUAUUCUUUUGAUACUUAUAUACUUUUAUUUUUGCAAAUUUACAAGUCUAGUCUUUAAUAUAUAUAAACCUUCCUUGUUAUUACUUUACACUAUUCUCUAUAUUAUGCCGUCGGCUUAUUACAUUCAUAAUAAUAUUGUUGAUUGUUUGUGGCAUGCUAAAAGAUGCAACUAAUUUAUUAAUUUCAAAAUAAUUUGUAUUUUUUAUCGUUAAUUUAUUGGAAAAAUAUUGAUUUAUCUUAGUUCUUAUUUAUGUCAAUACUUGAGUAAUAUUCAUUCAUGUCUUUUAUUGUCAUUUUGUAUUUAACAGCUAAUCCAAAAGUUAUUUUAUACUGAAUACUUCUAUUUUGAAUCACCAUAUAAACAACUAACUACUAAUAUCUAAUAUCUAACGGCUAGUGUAACAACUUACAACUACUAAAACAGCUAUCAGCUAUUCAAACCGCUAAUACGCCGAACAAAGCUUGAGACUUCAUAGUCCUAUAAACUCUGUUGUUAGAAUCUACAAUUCUCGAUUUGAAUCUUACUAUUCAAAUUAACUUCUCAACAAAUCAAUUCAAAUAUAUAGAAUGAAUCUUAAAUCUAUAUGAAUCUUACGAUUUUCAAUUCAUAUAUCCUAUACUUUUGAAAUUUUUACAAUUACACCCUCCGUCCAUAUCUCCAUAAAAUGCUACCAAACAAUUCAAUAUUAGCAUCCAAAACUGCCAAACUAUUAAGAAAUUCUAUCAAUACAAAUAUCACCUCUUUCAAAACCUUUUCCAUAAUUGUUUGAAAGACUCAUUGAAGUUUACCACUAAAGAAGCUCUAAAUGGGAGUAGGAGAGGCCUAGGCCCUUUGCAGCUCUCCAAUUUGCUUACACAAAAGGCUUACAGUAUCAUUAGAGAGAGAGAGAGAGAGGAGUGAGAUUUUAGAUCAAAACUUCUACCUUGCUUUUGAUUCCAGCAAAUGAUUAGCACCUUAAUCAUUGUGUGAAUAUCAUGAAUACCCAUGGCUGUGAUUGAUAGAGAAGCUUGAAUAGAAAUUCUUAGCUCAAUACAAUGUCAGAAUUAGAAAAACUGUGUCCUGAAUUACAACUACUACUUCAGUCUUUCCAGAUCUUCUCUUUUCCUUUUCUGUCUCUCAGCUUUCACUUCAAAUCAUUUUGCUAUUAUUGGGUGUUAUCAUCAUGCUCUCAUAUUCUUGAGCAAUUUCAGGAUUCAUCUCUCUCUCUCUCUCUCUCUCUCUCUCUCUCUCUCUCUAGCUCUGCAUGUGAUUUGAUAUUAUGAUGAGUCAAUUCUCGAUAGGGAACAAAUGCAAGUCAUUUCAAGAAUUAUUUUAUUUCAUUUUAUUAGUUUUUGGCUUCAAUUCUUCAUGUUUUGUUUGGUUAAUGAGAAAGUAAAAGAAAAUUCAUAAAACAUUAAUCUAGUUAGGGUUUUUAAUUUUAAUUUGAGGGUUUUGGAUAUUGACAUGGAAUUCGCUAUUAGUAUUUAAUGGAUAUAUGGAUGGAGGGUGUGAUUGUAAAAAUUUCCUUAAUAUAGGGUAUAUUAGUUGAAAAAAAAAACUAUGCAUACAAUUGUAAACAAAU